rnacentral:rRNA from 1 species
CAAUAGCGUAUAUUAAAGUUGUUGCGGUUAAAAAGCUCGUAGUUGGAUUUCUGCUGAGAACGACCGGUCCGCCCUCUGGGUGUGUAUCUGGCUCUUUCUUGGCAUCUUCUUGGUGAACGUUGCUGCACUUGACUGUGUGGAGCGCUGCCCAGGACUUUUACUUUGAGGAAAUUAGAGUGUUUCAAGCAGGCAUACGCCUUGAAUACAUUAGCAUGGAAUAAUAAGAUAGGACCUCGGUUCUAUUUUGUUGGUUUCUAGAGCUGAGGUAAUGAUUAAUAGGGAUAGUUGGGGGCAUUCGUAUUUAACUGUCAGAGGUGCAAUUCUUGGAUUUGUUAAAGACGGACUACUGCGAAAGCAUUUGCCAAGGAUGUUUUCAUUGA